AACGAACGCUGGCGGCGCGCCUAAUACAUGCAUGUCGAGCGAGAAGACGUAGCAAUACGUUUGUAAAGCGGCGAACGGGUGAGGAAUACAUGGGUAACCUACCCUCGAGUGGGGAAUAACUAGCCGAAAGGUUAGCUAAUACCGCAUACGACUCCUGGUCUGCGGAUUGGGAGAGAAAGCGAUACCGUGGGUAUCGCGCUCUUGGAUGGGCUCAUGUCCUAUCAGCUUGUUGGUGAGGUAACGGCUCACCAAGGCUUCGACGGGUAGCUGGUCUGAGAGGACGAUCAGCCACACUGUCACUGCGACACGGGCCAGACUCCUACGGGAGGCAGCAGUAAGGAAUAUUGCGCAAUGGGCGACAGCCUGACGCAGCGACGCCGCGUGGGGGAUGAAGGUCUUCGGAUUGUAAACCCCUUUCGGGAGGGAAGAUGGAACGGGUAACCGUUCGGACGGUACCUCCAGAAGCAGCCACGGCUAACUUCGUGCCAGCAGCCGCGGUAACAC
rnacentral:rRNA from 1 species